UUAAGGGAGGAACCAAAGUUUGCUGCUGCAGGUUGCUGGGGUGUUACUUUUGAGAGUUGCUACGUGACACUCAGGACCAAGCUAGCAGGCAGACACCUCGCUGAAUUCUCUGUCUGAGAUCAGCAAUGAUAAAAGGAGUCUGGAUAAAGUGCAUAGUGCAUUGAAGGACUGAAGAUUUCUAAUUUUCUCUCAAGGGAAAGCGGCCAAUGAGGAAGUGACUCCUGGUUGGACGGAGCGACAAUGGAGACAAGAGCACGGUGUAUGUGAAGAGACGCAGCUUGCUGAGGUGUCCAGUGCGAGGGUUUCCCAACUGAGCCGGGGGGACAGAGGAACAGCCCCUGAGAACAGCCUGGAAGAGUUCCUGGGAAGAGACUGGAUUCCUGUCGAAGAACUGAAGAUGUGGAAGGUAAUUCUAUCGCUCCUGCGUGGGGAAUCUGGUACAGAGCCCAAGGAAAUGCUGGCCUUUCCAAGACUGCUGGGGAAGAUGGUGCAAGUUCCUCUGCUGUAGCCUACCCUCUAACUCUUUAAUAUAGCCUCCUACUGAAACAUAAGGUGUGUUCACCUCAACUGUAAAUCUGAGGGCAUAACUAUUUCUCUACCAAAAAGUCCAUAUACCGUAUUUGCACUACUGUUAUAUACUAUUUAUACUGUCAUUCCAUCUCAAUCACCAUCAAUAUUGCACUAUUGUCUUACGUAUGUUUAUUGUGUCUUGU